AGGGCUACCGGCUUCAUUCCUCCGCUCCGAAUCCCUUCCCUGCGCUGUCUCCCCACCGGAGUGAAUGGAGCGGGGCGCUGGGGGAGGAAGCUCUUCACUAGUCACCAUUCAAAAGGUGCCGGCUAAAAUCUCAUUGCAAAAAGUCUCCUGAGAACAUUUUUUUCCGAGUGAUUCCAGCUUCCAGACAUUUGCCAUGAUAAGGGUUUUGAUCCUUUCCCAUAUUUGCCCUGAGUCAUGAGUGGAUAUGUGUGAUGCCUGCAAGUAAAACUGGUGUGGCGGAGAGUAAAAAUACUGUGAAAAAGAAGCAAGCAUUGGAAAGAAUUCCGCUGGGUGUUCUGUCUCUGGGAUGUGAGCUAAAAGUGCCACCGGUACCGAAGUAAUCCAUGAACCCUGCAGCUCAGUGAGAGGUUUGAAGCUAUUUUCCUCUGCUCGCAACCUUGUGAUACCACCCAGCAUUUAACUUGGUGAGAGUAUUCCAAGGAGUCGUACAAGAUUUAGCGUGGCCUUGUCAGAACUAUCUUUUCAAGUAUUUAGUCCACUUCUAACUGUAACUCUUUACUUAAGGAAAAUGAAAAAGAGGGGGCUGGCAAAGCCGCUUGUUUGCUCCAAGAUUGUUCCCCGCAGUACAGAAUUAUCUCCCGUAAGCUCUGUCCAAGGGAAGGCUCGAUAAAGAUUAAAUAUUUUUAU
rnacentral:lncRNA from 7 species